rnacentral:tRNA from 1 species
GGAUGUGUAGCUCAGCGGGUAGAGCACCUGGUUGAAGCCCAGGGUGCGCAGGGUCGGUACCUGCCACAUCCACCA